rnacentral:rRNA from 1 species
AACGAACGCUGGCGGCAGGCUUAACACAUGCAAGUCGAACGCCCCGCCAGGGGAGUGGCAGACGGGUGAGUAACGCGUGGGAACAUACCCUUUCCUGCGUAAUAGCCCAGGGAAACUUGGAUUAAUACCGAAUACGCCCUACGGGGGAACGAUUUAUCGGGGAAGGAUUGGCCCACGUGGGAUUCGCACGUUGGUGGGGUAAAGGACUACCAAGCCGACUAUCCAUAGCUGGUCUGAGAGGAUGAGCAGCGACAUUAGGCCUGGGACACGGCCCAAACUCUUACGCGAGGCAGGCGUGGGGAAUACUGCACUACGGGCGCAAGCCUGAUCCAGCCAUGCUGCGUGAGUGAUGAAGGCCUUAGGGUAGUAAAGCUCUUUAACAGAUGAAGAUACUGACGGUAGUCGGAGAAGAAGCCCCGGCUAACUUCGUG